GGAUUAGAUACCCUGGUAGUCCACACCGUAAACGCUGUCUACUAGCUGUGUGUGAAUUUAAUUUGUGCGUAGCGAAGCUAACGCGCUAAGUAGACCGCCUGGGGAGUACGGCCGCAAGGUUAAAACUCAAAUGAAUUGACGGGGGCCCGCACAAGCGGUGGAGCAUGUGGUUUAAUUCGAUGCAACGCGAAGAACCUUACCUACACUUGACAUGCUGAGAACUUAGCAGAGAUGCUUUGGUGCCUUCGGGAGCUCAGACACAGGUGCUGCAUGGCUGUCGUCAGCUCGUGCCG
rnacentral:rRNA from 1 species